CUUCCUGAAUCAGGAGUAGGGGGCAGGCAGUUCGGAAAUAGCGACCUGCAGGGUCCGCAGGGGCUUCUGCUGGGGCUGCCCGGGGGAGUCCUGAGCCUCAGCCGCCCCCACGCCUCGUCAGAGCCCCAGAAUGAGGGUCAGCAGGAACGUGCAGGCUCCUAGAAAGUCCUGUGGAAGACGACUGUCUGUUCCGCUGCUCGCCGGUCUCCAGGGCCAAGGAGGGGUGCCUGGCUCCUUUGUAAGAGAAUGAAGGGAUCCGGAAAGAGAGGCGGCCUGCUGAACCAUCAACGAGCCGGAUUUCUCACCUUUCCAUUCCGAGGAGGCGUUGUCAUCAACCUUUAGAGAGAAACUGGAUUGAUUUGGGGGGAGCUCCUGUUUAAGUUUUCGGCCGGUUACCCUGCUACCGUGGAGGCUGCCACCCUUGGCCCAAGUGUUGUCUGCUAACUUGCCGCCAACAAGUGACUGGAACAGCAUCAGACUCCCAAACACUAUCCCAAGCUCCCGGGCAAGUCCACUUAUUUAUCGCAUGCUUUCCUCUUGGUUUACAGCUUUACAUAAAAAGAACUAAAGCACAUAUUUAACUCUGUCAUCAGCAUUUAUUCAUUUUGUGGGUUAUCCUUUCAUCCUAUUUGAUGGUGGAGGCAUGAAAGCUAAUAAAGAUAUAUUUUGAGGUUAACUUCUAUUUGUUCUAGCGGUUUCUAAAUAAUUUUCCCAUUUAGAAAAUAUAUUUAUAGUAAAACAAAAGAGAAAUGUUUUUAAUGAUGUUUUAAAAUUUGUUAUUAUUGUUGUUUUUGGCUGCAUCACGAGGCAUGUGGGAUCUUGGUUCCCCGA